AUUUAAUUGAAAAUGAAAGUCGUUACUACAUUAUUAUUUCUCUUGCUCUUGGCAUAUAUCUGGGAAGUUGAAUCGCAAAGAGUAGUACACACAACGACAACUACGACAAAACGAACAACAACGAAACUCAGGAAAGGGAAUUUUAAUGAAAAUCGUAUAUACAAUAAUAAUACGAUUCAAGUCCAGCAAAAUAAUGAUAACAGAUGCCCACAAUGUCCAGAUUGUCCUGAUUGUCCCGAUUGUCCCGACUGUCCUCACUGUCCAAAAUGUCUUAAAUGUAAAAUUACUUUGCCAAAUUGGACGGUUUACAGUUGUGUAAAAAAGAAAAACAAGGAAUGUAAGGAGCUCACUAACUGAAAAUAAAAAUAUGCAUAUGUACAUAUAUCGAUGUACUUAUGUAUGAAU